GAUGAAUGCUGGCGGCGCGCCUAACACAUGCAAGUCGAGCGGUAACAGGUCUAGUUUACUAGAUGCUGACGAGCGGCGGACGGCUGAGUAACGCGUGGGAACAUGCCCCAAAGUGAGGAAUAACUGCCCGAAAGGGUAGCUAAUGCCGCAUAUGAUCUUCGGAUUAAAGGAUUUAUCCGCUUUGGGAGUGGCCCGCGUACGAUUAGGUAGUUGGUGAGGUAAUGGCUCACCAAGCCUACGAUCGUUAACUGGUCUGAGAGGAUGAUCAGUCAGACUGGAACUGAGACACGGUCCAGACUCCUACGGGUGGCUG
rnacentral:rRNA from 1 species